rnacentral:rRNA from 1 species
CGCCUGUUUAACAAAAACAUCGCCUCUUGCAAAAAUAACGAAUAAGAGGUCCUGCCUGCCCUGUGACUAUAUGUUCAACGGCCGCGGUAUUUUGACCGUGCGAAGGUAGCGUAAUCACUUGUCUCUUAAAUGGGGACCUGUAUGAAUGGCAAGACGAGGGCUUAACUGUCUCCUUUUUUCGGUCAAUGAAAUUGAUCUCCCCGUGCAGAAGCGGGGAUGACCUCAUAAGACGAGAAGACCCUGUGGAGCUUUAGACACCAAGGCAGACCAUGUCCCUCCCCCACCGAUAAGUGACAAAACUUAGUGGCUCCUGUCCUAAUGUCUUCGGUUGGGGCGACCACGGAGAAAUAAAAAACCUCCACGCGGAAUAGGAGCACUGCUCCUACAACCAAGAGCUUCCACUCUAAUGUAUCAGAAAUUCUGACCAUAUGAUCCGGCAACGCCGAUUAACGAACCAAGUUACCCCAGGGAUAACAGCGCAAUCCUCUCUUAGAGACCCUAUCGACGAGUGGGUUUACGACCUCGAUGUUGGAUCAGGACAUCCUAAUGGCGCAGCCGCUAUUAAGGGUUCGUUUGUUCAACGAUUAAAGUCCUACGUGAUCUGAGUUCAAAACCGG